rnacentral:rRNA from 1 species
AUGCUGACCUCCGGCUUCCACGAGAUUGAGGAUAUCAUCGAUGACUUCUUCCCUGGCCACUCGCAGGCAGUCGCUCUGGACAUCGAGGCUGAUCGUGAGGCGCGAAGGGCAAACGGCGAGGAGAUUGCCGUCAACGCUCCCCUGACCGUCGAUGAGCAGAUUCUGAGCAUCGAGGCCUGUCUUCGUCCGGCCCACCGGCGGAUGUGCCGGCUUCAGCGUGCUGGCGCCCAGGCAGUUGCCGCCCUGUGGCCAGACAUGUCGGCUCUGCGCACCGCCAGCCGGACUGCCGACUGGCUGGAGAUCGCAGCCGGCCGUCUUGAGGCCUGGAAGGGUUCCUCGGCCCGGGCCGGAGCUUGCCGGGCCUUGGAAUUCGUCAAGGCGUGGUAUCCGGGGCUGGACCUGGACCGUCUGGCCGCGUUCCGGUCAGAGGCCCAGGCCGAGCUGGAGGCUGUGGAGGGCGCCCUUGUCGAGCGUGCGGCGGCCAUCGCUGAGUACACAGACACUAGUGUCUUCGUCCCCGAGCGGGCUGAAGGCGGCGAGGAGGUGCCGCCAGAGUGGUUCGGGAUGAACCCGGAAUAUGGCGAGGACUCGGCGGAGGUGAUUGACUCCAGCACCGAGGAAGAAGGCGAGGCGGAGGACGAAGGCGAGACGGACGUGCCAGAAGGCGGAGCGGGCGACCAGCCUCAGCUCGACCGCGCCUCUAGCAACGAGCCGCGUCCGACCGGGCCGACUGCCGCUGGCGGUGAUCAAGUCGAGACUGCCCAGCCGACUCCCCCGGCGCCUGACACCGCCGUCUCCUCCGACCCUCCGAACCCGUCUGCUGCUCCUUAG